rnacentral:snRNA from 1 species
GAGAUUGUUGCUACAACGAGCCA